rnacentral:lncRNA from 1 species
GGAAAAGAAAUUAAGCAAACUCUUCUCAUUUGGAGCUGCAUAUAAUAGCAGAAAGAUCAUGAUCUCAUAACUGUUACUUGGAUGUCUUGAUAACAUUAUUUUGUUCUCUUAAUCCCAAUUUAGUCCCAUUUGUCUCGUAAAUUAAACUGAAAUCUCAUUCUCAAGGAACUUUUAGAGUUAGUGAAACUGUACUAUUUUGCAACUGAAUGCAUUCAUGCAUAUUUAUAACGUACUGGAAUUUGCUCUUUCUUUGCAGAAAGUGGUGGCUCUGACGCCAAAAGUGCGGCCAGCGAGGGAUGUUGGCCAAGAGUGCUCCUGUCCUCCAGAAGUCUCUAGCAACACUGGGGUUAUUCAAAACACACACUACAAUUGCACAAUCCCUUUACCUCCAUCAUGUUUACCUUACUGUGCUGUCUUGUGUGGCAGUUAGUGAUGGGGAAACAAAUAUCCCGUUUCCCUGCUCUGUUCUGAGUAGUUUUUUCUCUCCGUUCCUCUGACUUUCUGUGGUUCUUUCUGGUGAAUGUGAAUGGAUAGAAACUUUGUUAGGGACACUGUUUGCCUUCUUGACUGCCUUAAUUCUUUAUAACAUAUAUUCAACAAGGUGCUGAAAACAUUCC